rnacentral:rRNA from 1 species
GGUUAAGCGACUAAGCGUACACGGUGGAUGCCCUGGCAGUCAGAGGCGAUGAAGGACGUGCUAAUCUGCGAAAAGCGUCGGUAAGGUGAUAUGAACCGUUAUAACCGGCGAUGUCCGAAUGGGGAAACCCAGUGCAAUUCGUUGCACUAUCGUUAACUGAAUACAUAGGUUAACGAGGCGAACCGGGGGAACUGAAACAUCUAAGUACCCCGAGGAAAAGAAAUCAACCGAGAUUCCCCCAGUAGCGGCGAGCGAACGGGGAGCAGCCCAGAGUCUGAAUCAGCUUGUGUGUUAGUGGAACGGUCUGGAAAGUCCGACGGUACAGGGUGAUAGUCCCGUACACCAAAAUGCACAGGCUGUGAACUCGAAGAGUAGGGCGGGACACGUGGUAUCCUGUCUGAAUAUGGGGGGACCAUCCUCCAAGGCUAAAUACUCCUGACUGACCGAUAGUGAACCAGUACCGUGAGGGAAAGGCGAAAAGAACCCCGGCGAGGGGAGUGAAAAAGAACCUGAAACCGUGUACGUACAAGCAGUGGGAGCACCUUCGGGUGUGACUGCGUACCUUUUGUAUAAUGGGUCAGCGACUUAUAUUCUGUAGCAAGGUUAACCGUAUAGGGGAGCCGCAGGGAAACCGAGUCUUAACUGGGCGUUAAGUUGCAG